GAGUCCGAUUAUGCCAGCUCACUGGGGCACCACUUGCUCCAGGGACUGCCAAUGAGUCUCAUAGUCCUCUGGGACUGAUAUCUGAAGGGAGACUGGAGAAGUGUUGCUCGCCCUGUAAGGCCCGUCCGAGGCUUUGGCGGCAGCCGUAAAUUUAUCCUCGGAACCUGCUGGGAUGUAGAGGAGCCGAGCGGUGGGGAAAGUCUUGCAAGGACCGAGGAUAGUCUGCCAUAAAAGUCUUUAAAUCUGAUGAGAAAUUAAUUUUGCGCUGCUGCAGCUCCUCCAACCCCCUUGACGACCGUGGAAACGAAGGUUUGCGACACUCGGAGCGCCGUGACUGUUUUCAUCAAAAGAACACUUGCCUCCUUUGGAGACUCGCCCUUGCGUGGGAAGAUUUGCGGCAGGAAACGACCGCAACACAAUCUGCUGUGCGUCCAUUACUGACAAUGUCAUUUUUGCACAAGGUUAACAGAGUUUGCACAGAGUUAUAUUUCUUGUUUGUGCAAUAAGCCUGAUAAAGUAAGUUAAUAUAAUACUCAACAUCUUCUUCAAAUAUUCUUUUCUCAGAAAAAAUGGUGUCAAAUUUGGCAUAAUCUUGCUCAAGCCAGUAAGCCACAGUACAGUAACAAAAUACUUAAUUACAUCCAGCAUAAAUCCCGCAACAAUCUGAUAAAGCGAUCAGGCCCAAAUUGCACCGCGGCACGGGAACACACUGUCGAGCACAGGCCCGGACCAGCAUACGUCGUCUCAUCAUUCAGCCCAGCCGCGAGCCACACUAAGAUCAUAAUGAGUCUCUGUCAGCGGCAUCCAGCAGUAUUGAACCAGAUCCCGUGUGUCAGGGGAGCAGCCGAGGCAGAGGCACAUCUCCUAUACCUCUAAGUCCUGUCACCAGCUUGUAUUCGGCUUUGGCUGAUUAAAACUGAUGGGGUGACAUGAUUGUGACCUGUAUGGAUUUCUGAUUCUCCCAGCCACACUGCCCGACUACAUGUGUCUUUUGCCUUUGACAAACCCACCAGGGAGCCCUCGAAACCGAGCUGCAGAAUGCAUUAUUCAAAAGGCAGCAGGCAAUCGAUACCAAGAAAUGUAACGAAAUGGGAGGGGGAGAGAUCCAGAGAGAUGGAGAGGGGGAGAGGAAGAGAGAGUAGAAGGCAUCCAAACUUCCCUGGCUAUGUCCGUCAGCAGCAGUCGUAAGUAUUAACUACUAAUCCCGGUGUGAGUUUCCCCAUCUCAACAAGGAACUUUGGCAUAGCUCACUAAUCCCCCGGAGGAGUUAAAUCCAGGACGAGCAUCAUCAAUCUUUAGGGGUUAAUAUGUUAUCAUCCUGCCACCACUACGUUCAACACCUGAUUCCUGGCCGUGUAUAACGUGGCAAUAAAAAGUUAGUUUUCCAUGCUACACCUUCCAAAAGAUAACAUUCGAGAACCCUGUGUUGUGCUCCCUGGCUGCAUCAAAUGAAAUACAAUCAGAAAAGACAUUAUGCAGCUUGAUUACCAUUUCACUGAUUGAAAUGUUGUUUUAAACAUGAUGUUUUGAUUCUAAAUGCAUGUUACAAAAUCCACUUGAAACACUUUCUUUUUUGGUAUGGCAUGAGAUUGUUGUGUGUUUAACUUUUGUGAUUGACGUCUCCAAAUUCCUUUCCAUCCUGACACUUCCUUACUGUCACUCUCACUAAAUGCUAGAGAGAGACUGUAGUUUGCCGAAGAUUAAGGGGGGAUUUCUAGCAUAUCCCCCCCAAAACAAACGUAGUAAUUGGGUACAAUGAGAAGAAAGUAGACAUGGGGCUGUGGUUACGUCUGGCAGACAGACUGCAGUCCUCACAGGACGAAACACUGCACGCACUCCUUAACAACCACAUGGAGCAGCUCAAACCCCUAAAAACAAUGGAGCUUUCAUGAGUUCGAUUUACACUCACUAUUGCUUCAACGCAAACUUUGCAAACUGUGCUGAUUGUGUGACAGCUGGAACUGCAGUGACUGCUGUGGAUGUGAGCUUUUAAGUGCUUCUGUGAAUGGCCAUUAAUCAUUUCCAAUCUUUAAUUACUUUAAAUUUCGCAGCCAGUGACUUUCCCUGAAGAUUUUGGAAUUAUGCUGUAUGAUUGAGCUUCGGACUCUAAGUCUAAGAGGAUUUCUGUGCUUUUACUGUUUGCUUUUAAAGCAGCACUGUACAGGAUAACCGUGUCCAAAAAGAUGGAGUUGCUCUCUGCUUAUGUCAUGGUCGGUCUGAGAUCCCCCAAACUGGUUUACUGAGAGCCUCAAAGGCCUGAAGUGUGUCCGUGAGAGCGGCGCCCUGACAUACAGCUGGUUGGGGACUGACUGCCUCUGGCAUCCACACCUGGUUCCAGUAACUCACUCCACAGGACUGAGCUACAUUACAGUACGGUUGUACGUUUUCAUAAUAUAUGUGAGACCGACAUUAUGGUUACUGAUAUGUCUAUAUGGAAAUGGUGGUUCAAGAUGUGUAAGCUUAAAAGUAAAGGUUUUAAGAUAAAGAAAGAAAAUGUUUGUAGUUGGAGGGUAUGUACUGUCUUUAAUAAACGGGACCUCAGAAAUACUCUGUGAAGUCACUGGUGCUAAGCUAAUGUUAGCCAAACGUGUAAGUCUGGCUGGCUUUUUGAACUAUUUUGUGUCAUUGUAUCAUGUGAUAAAAUGAAAUGAAACGCUCAUACUUAUAAAACUAGUAGUUCCCCUCUGCUCAACGUAGCGUCAUUGUUGAAUAUAUACGCAAGAAGCCGUUAAUUGCAAAAAAGCUCUAAAUCCUGAAGACAUGAACUGUUAUUGAUUAGCUAGAUCUUUUCUCCAGAAGAGUUUCAUAAAAGAAGACAAAGCCAGAACGAUCAGUAGAGCUAGUUGAACGUUCCAUGUCUAAUUAUUUUACAAGCUAAUAUAUAAAUCAAAUAACUUUAACGGAAAAAAAGCAGUAUUGCUUAGAACAUGUACAACAUUAUGCAUAGUAAGAAUUUGAUUUAGUUUUAGCAGCUGUUGCGAUAAGUCAUGCUAAUUUCAAUGCAACCCCCCCCCCCCCCCCUUAAACAAUUUAAUAACUGCUAAAAAGUCAAACAGACUGGUUAAUCCAUCUAUGUUAAUCUUUUCUUUACCGGGGUCCAAUUAAUUUUCCCUUCAUUUCUCGGCUCAUUAUUGAACUCUCAGUUCAUAAGCUUGUAUCUCACCUCUAAUGAUCUGAGCAGGAGGGCAGAAACAGCCUCAAAGUUGCCGGCAAAGCCCACUAAAUGGGCCUUCAUUAAAGCAUUACUGCAGAUGGUUCAAUGGGAAACAUAUAGACUUCUAGAUUCUUGAACAUGUAUAUGAAUAUAUGUGGAAACACAGCUUGGGAGUGAAAAAGGCCGCUGCCCUACCAAUUCUACGAAAAUGAAUUGAAUGAUUGGUAAUUGCAACAAUACACAGUCUAGUUAAAGGACUUGAGUGAAUAGGUUGAAUCAAAAAGGCUGCCUGAAUGACUUGCCUCCGACUCCGCCUGUGAUUGACACUCUAAAUACAGUCAUGGCAGGGGAGCUGGAGCUCAGGCUUGGGGGGAGCAUUUGCCUGGGGUUUUCCUGCUCCCUUGUUUUUAAUUAGUCACACUGAAAACUGUAACUGGAGCCGGGGCUUAAACAAAUUAAAUUCCUACAUAAUAGCUAGUUUUAAUACAAUUGUGGAGCAAUUAGGAUGGAUAUUUGUUGCCGGGCGGCAUAAUAAUGCACGCUAUUUCUUACUUCCUCUCCUUUCCUUCUUUGCAGUAUCUUGCAGAGUGUUUACUGCCAGAGGAUUUCUCCUUGGGCAUCAGGCACAGAUGUGCGCCCAAGUACAGCAUAUGGGGCUUGAUUCCUGUAUACGUCCAAGCUAAUGUGAAAGGUGGGACCUUAGGACCUGGGAGCCUCAGCAUAGAGCGGGAGGCUUAAACUCAAGGAGAGCCUCUCCAUAUGAAGGAGAUCCCGUGAGAGUUGAGCAACUCAUGUUUGUUCUUGUUGUCCGGCAUGUGCUGAAGUCUGGGUUGCGCUGUUUGUUGCUCGCCAGUACCGUGUGGGUGAGCAAACUAUACUAAGGAGAAGGUCAGACCUGAACCAGACCUGGUAAGUCCAGGGUCCUACCUACUGGUGCACCGGUGCAUUGGGCCUAGGAGGUAGGAAGUUGGGCUUGCAAGCACAUUAUGCGUUUUGUAAUGAGAAGGAUGAUGGGUACUCUGUGAUUAAUGGCUGUUUUGUACAUUGCAGGCUGAACUGGUGACACGGAGUGGCCAGCAGGGCAGCCACUGCUCUUUUUCUCCGACUAUAGUUUUUGUUUAGAUUAUGCUCUAGUGCCUCCAUCUUGCUCUCUCUCUCUUUAUAGAAAUAACAAACUGAUAUUGUGCCUUUUUGAUGACCGUUGCUUCCCCCUUCCCCACUUCUAUU